rnacentral:rRNA from 1 species
CCUACGGGAGGCAGCAGUGGGGAAUAUUGGGCAAUGGAGGCAACUCUGACCCAGCAACGCCGCGUGAAUGAUGAAGGUCUUCGGAUUGUAAAGUUCUGUGAUGGGGGAUGAACACAAUGACGGUACCCUAAUAGCAAGCCACGGCUAACUACGUGACAGCAGCCGCGGUAAUACGUAGGGGGCAAGCGUUAUCCGGAAUGACUGGGCGUAAAGGGUGCGUAGGUGGUUUAGUAAGUUGGCGGUGUAAUUCCGGGGCUGAACCUCGUCGCUACCGCCAAAACUAGUAGACGAGAGUGCAGGAGAGGUAAGUGGAAUGCCUGGUGUAGCGGUGAAAUGCGUAGAUAUUAGGAAGAACAUCAGGGGCGAAGGC